rnacentral:tRNA from 1 species
GGGUGUAAAUUGGGUGUAAAGAAAACUGAAAUGCUCUAAUUCCUUUCAUACUAGGGAUCGUUCACCGCCUCCUAAGCGGUAGGUCGAGGGUUCGAAUCCCGCCAGUCCCG